CCUACGGGAGGCAGCAGUGGGGAAUAUUGGGCAAUGGACGCAACUCUUACCCAGCAAUGCCGCGUGAAUGAAGCAGGUCUUCGGAUUGUAAAGUUCUUUAAUUCGGGACGAAAAAUAUGACGGUACCCAACGACUAAGCCUCGGCUAACAACGUGCCAGCAGCCGCGCUAAUACGUAGGGGGCGAGCGUUGUUCGGAAUGACUGGGCGUCAGGGGUGUGUAGGUGGGGUGGCAAGUUAGCAGUGAAAUACCUAGGGCUUAACGUAGGAGCUGCUUCUGAAACUGCUAGACUGGAGUGCGGUAGAGGUAAGUGGAAUGCCUGGUGUAGCGGUGAAAUGCGUAGAUAUCAGGAGGAACACCAGUGGCGAAGGCGACUUGCUGGACCGUAACUGACGCUGAGGCACGAAAGUGUGGGGAGCAAACAGGAUUAGAUACCCCAGUAGUC
rnacentral:rRNA from 1 species